AUACGGAAAACAGUGCGCGACAGGCAGGGGCGAAGGACACGGUCUACCGGUGUCGCCACCAGAGCAGAUGGGAAGCUGGGGAGACAGCACACUAGCUUGCUGGUUAGCUAGCACACGCUGUCGCCCACGCCUCCCACCGACUGUGUACCGGAGAAAACCGUGUCACAGACGGGUGCGAACCUCGCUCCUGCUUCCCGCUAGCACAAUAGACGGGAGGCUGGGGCGACACCGCGUGUUAGCUAACAAGUUGCUAGUUAGUUAGCACACAGUGUCACCUGCAUUGUACCGGACUAGCUGGCUUAGCUAGCACACAGUGCCUUUCACUCCCACCUGCCCUCGUUAUCGUUAACAGAAAUGCGGUGACGAAGGACACUGUGUACGGCUAUCGCCCCCGCCCUUCUUCUGCAGCCAUCCAACGUUAUUGUGCAUUAACGUCACCUACUGUACUGGAGCGACCCCGCCUGUCAUCGUUCUUCUAUGGUGUAAUGGCGUUCGCAACAAUUGGUUCUGGAUUCUGCCACCCACUGUGCGGGUGGAUAAUAAGGAUCCAAAAAAUAAUAAUAAUGUUAAAAAAAAUCCAACGAGACUCCAGCUAUAUAACUCCUUUGGCAGGCGUCCUGCUCCGAAGAGGAAUACAGGGAUAAAGAGAGGUUCCUGAAGAUGCAGGAAUACCCACAUGCAGGAACGAACCUGAAUUACAAGCCGCAAUUGCACCCUUCUUCGAGAGUGCGGAGUUAUCCUUUUGAAAGCACGUGAGCAAAGAGGUUCUAAACCUUCAGGGAACGCUUGCGAAACAGACCAAGGGUUUGAGAAGUUCAUGAGUAAAGUAAAGCUAUGCUAUUACUCCAACCUUGUGAAAGUAAAUUUUUCGUCAAAAACAACUUUAUUUGUAACUUUAAUUUGACGGCCUACACAUGCGCAGAUCGGCGCGAAACGGCCGUUUGACCCGAUGACGUAUCUUUGCGCAUGAGUUUAGCUAGAUAACGUCGCCUACAAGUGUGAUCGGGAUUUAUAUUGGAGAAGCAGUUUUAGCCUAUCUUCAUAUUGUAUAGUCUUUGGUGUGAAUGUGCCGCUAAAAAGGCACAUAUAUCGUGGACGCAGACGAACAUACCUAACAAAAAUCACUUUUCAUGAUUCCACUCGUUCGCAAAGAGUCGGGCGUGAUUAGAAGUCGGUCAGAUCAAGAAUAUAAGCGUUCUGAGGUUUGUUUAAUCAAUACUCGGAGCAAUAUUUAUAUGUUGACCUGUAUUUUAUUUUAUUUGUGUACAAAAUACCGGUGUCCUCAUACGUAUGUAUAUAUGGCCAUGUACCAUUGACUGUACAUCUUACCUGUAUAAGAUGUUGUGCCGACAGUCAACUUCCAAUCCAGCACUUUUGUAAAUCUAUGUCCUGUCAUCAUGCGUCGCGACAAGGUUGCAUGCGUUGAAAACGUGGUUUACUUUGGACCAGGCAUCAUCUCCAAAUCUGAUGAUAAUUGUCCCAUAGGUAAUAAGCGAAAAUCCAAAAGCCUCUCAAAAAGCUUCAGAAAUUCAAAAAUGUUCUGAAGUGAUCUAGAGAUGGUUAUCUGCAAAACGACACAUGGGGAUGACUCAUCCACGUCUCAGUUGUUCAAGAAUGUCACGUUUUGGUUUGUUAAUUAACAAACACCUAGAAUAUGACAAAUUAGCAUCUAAAGAUACACCAUUACUCUUCACUUUUAUCAUUUAAAUGUACCUCAUUGAUCAUAAGAAUGAUUGAAAGCAAUCCUUUGUAAACAUUUGUUGUCCAUGAUGAUUAUAGCGCUUUUCUCUUGCAAUUACUCAUGCCUAGAAAGUGGGUUGGGUCAUCGACAGCACAGUGGACACUAUAUAAUACCCAUAAAACCUAGCGGGAAAACCCGGUAAUGGUUCCAAUCAUUUUUCAAUUUUAGAACUACUUCAUAUAAGGUCUGUGUUUCGUGUAGACUUACCCUGGCGUGACGUUUUGAUAGCCAUGUAAUUCUCUAGGACAAGUUGAGUGUUCUCAAUAUAUUCUCAUCGAAAAUGCUAAUUAGCAACAGAGAAGACUUCAACAAGACUACGAAAUCCUGCAGGGAGCUCCUGCACCUCAUCUCUAAUCACACUGUCAGCUCCCAUUCACCAGCGUGAUCACGUUUGUGCCCAAACCAUGAAUGUGCGUCCCCUUUGUAUGUUUUAGCUAGCCACUGACUACACUUUAGCUAGCUAGUUAGCAGAGCAGUAGAUCAAAAAAUGAUUUUGUUUUAGACUAGAUAAGUCUUUGUACAGUACGUCGACUUUGGUGUCUAGUUCAGACCUUAUGGCUUUUUCAAGGAUGAGCAUUAAAAGGGGAGAAGACCACUGGAAGUCUGGCCAUUUUGAGAAGUACAGCUAUAGUGAAGGGCAAUUAACCAGUUUGGUCAGGGCCAGCAUAAGGGUAAAGCUUAUCCUGUGUCGGUGAGUGUAGCUAUUAAAUUAAGUUUGAGCAACAUAACAAUACAUUGUUUCCUACACAUCUGUCAACAUUCUAAAAGAGCCACUUAAUCAAUUAUAGAUUACACAGAUACCAGACUUCGACGAGUGAUAAUUCAGUUCUGGAAUGUCAUUGAAAAGGAAUCUAAAAAAUCUAUUGACGUUCAAAAAAUGGACUUUUUUUGUUUGUUUACAGUAUUGUAGUUUCAUGACGAGACAAAUCUUCAAAAGGGCACAGCAUUGAUUUAUUCAGAGUGGUAAAUGCAUUCACACAGUCUUGAUUUAUUGAAUCCAUCCCACUAUAUGAUUGAUGUCAAGUGAUAAAAUCCGAAGGUGUCAAUUAAAAGUUUAUAGAAAAACUA